rnacentral:rRNA from 1 species
GUAGGGAAUAUUGGGCAAUGGAAGGAAUUCUGACCCAGCCAUGCCGCGUGCAGGAAUACAGUCCUAUGGACUUUAAACUGCUUUUAUUAUAGAGUAACCUGGGGGACGUGUCCCCCACUGCAAGUAUAUAAUGAAUAAGCAUCGGCUAACUCCGUGCCAGCAGCCGCGGUAAUACGGGGGAUGCAAGCGUUAUCCGGAUUUAUUGGGUUUAAAGGGUGCGCAGGCUGAUCGGUAAGUCAUGGGUGAAAAGUCACUGCUUAACAGUGAUCAUGCCUAUGAUACUGCCGGACUAGAGUUUAAGAGGUGUAACUGGAAUGUGAUAUGUAGCGGUGAAAUGCUUAGAUAUGUCACAGAACGCCAAUCGUGAAGACAGGUUACAAACUUAAUACUGACGCUCAUGCACGAAAGCGUGGGGAUCAAACAGGAUUAGAAACCCCUGUAGUCC